GCAAAAGAAAUGAAGCAUCUCACCCCGGCAACUAAAACUCUGGUGUUAACCACCGUCCCGAACCAUCGAUGAAUCCUGACGUGAAAUAUAUCCUCGUUAUCUGUGCCGACAGGCGGGGUCGAAGGUGAUGAGGUCGAAGGUGUGUCCUUAACAAACACCUGGUACAGACCCUCCUGAAACAUGUUCUGGGUCAUCUUGUGUGGAAAAGAGAAAUGUUGUCAAACACUUGAAAAUCAGUCAACACACACACACACACACACACACACACACACACACACACACACACACACACACACACACAGAGACACACACACACACACACACACACACACACACACACACACACACACACACACACACACA